GGUGGGAGGAGCGAAGGCGAGCAGAUAUUGUAGACUGGAGGCCACAAACUAUGCACUCACGACGUCGAGAGUAGUCGGGAGCAGGGCGGAAGCA
rnacentral:rRNA from 12 species